AACCAGCACCUCAAGUGGUCAGGAUGAUUAUUGGGCCUAAAGCAUCCGUAGCCUGCUCUAUAAGUCUCCGGUUAAAUCCAUCAGCUCAACGGAUAGGCUGCCGGAGAUACUGCAGUACUAGGGAGUGGGAGAGGUAGACGGUACUCGGUAGGAAGGGGUAAAAUCCUUUGAUCUAUCGAUGACCACCUGUGGCGAAGGCGGUCUACCAGAACACGUUCGACGGUGAGGGAUGAAAGCUGGGGGAGCAAACCGG
rnacentral:rRNA from 1 species